GACGAACGCUGGCGGCAUGCCUAACACAUGCAAGUCGAACGAAACCUUCGGGUCUAGUGGCGCACGGGUGCGUAACGCGUGGGAACCUGCCCUUAGGUUCGGAAUAACUCCCCGAAAGGGGUGCUAAUACCGGAUAAUGUCUUCGGACCAAAGAUUUAUCGCGUUUGGAUGGGCGCGCGUUGGAUUAGCUAGUUGGUAGGGUAAAAGCCUAACAAGGCGAGGAUCGAUAGCUGGUCUGAGAGGAUGAUCAGCGACACUGGGACUGAGACACGGCCCAGAAUCCUACGGGAGGCAGCAGUGGGUGAUAGUGGAAAAUGGGCGAAGGGCUGAACCACCAAUGCCGCGUGAGUGAUGAAGGCCGGAGGGAUGUAAAGCUCUUUUACCCGUGAUGAUAAUGACAGUACCGGGAGAAUAAGCUCCGGCUAACUCCGUG
rnacentral:rRNA from 1 species